rnacentral:rRNA from 1 species
AGCGGCAAAAGCUCAAAUUUGAAAUCUGGCGUCUUUGGCGUCCGAGUUGUAAUUUGAAGAAGGUAUCUUUGGGCCCGGCUCUUGUCUAUGUUCCUUGGAACAGGACGUCACAGAGGGUGAGAAUCCCGUGCGAUGAGAUGACCCGGGUCUGUGUAAAGUUCCUUCGACGAGUCGAGUUGUUUGGGAAUGCAGCUCUAAGUGGGUGGUAAAUUCCAUCUAAAGCUAAAUAUUGGCGAGAGACCGAUAGCGAACAAGUACAGUGAUGGAAAGAUGAAAAGAACUUUGAAAAGAGAGUGAAAAAGUACGUGAAAUUGUUGAAAGGGAAGGGCUUGAGAUCAGACUUGGUAUUUUGCAUGCUGCUCUCUCGGGGGCGGCCGCUGCGGUUUACCGGGCCAGCAUCGGUUUGGAGCGGCAGGAUAAUGGCGGAGGAAUGUGGCACGGCUUCUGCUGUGUGUUAUAGCCUCUGACGAUACUGCCAGCCUAGACCGAGGACUGCGGUUUUUACCUAGGAUGUUGGCAUAAUGAUCUUAAGUCGCCCGUCUUGAAACACGGACC